CGAUACUUAUUGUAUGGAAGACUAGUGAUUUUGUUGUUUUGCUUUGGAAUUAAACAAUAAAUCCCUUGUCUUCUUACAAUGUGUAUUA
rfam:Stomoxys calcitrans breed 8C7A2A5H3J4 unplaced genomic scaffold Scaffold72, whole genome shotgun sequence.